rnacentral:rRNA from 1 species
GGGUCAGUAGGUUGGUCGUGCCACCGGUACGUACUGGUCUCACUGAUUCCUCCUUCCUGAAGAACCGUAAUGCCAUUAAUUUGGUGUUGCGGGGAAACAGGACUUUUACUUUGAAAAAAUUAGAGUGUUUAAAGCAAGCUAACGCUUGAAUACAUUAGCAUGGAAUAAUGAAAUAGGACGAUCGAUCCUAUUUUGUUGGUUUCUAGGAUUGACGUAAUGAUUAAUAGGGAUAGUUUGAG